UACCGAAGACUAUCAAACUCCGAAUGCCGUCAUCUUAUACUUGGGAGUCAGACUGUGGGUGAUAAGAUUCAUAGUCGAAAGGGCAACAGCCCAGAUCGUCAGCUAAGGUCCCUAAAUGUAAGUUAAGUGGUAAAGGAUGUGGGAUUGCACAGACAACCAGGAUGUUGGCUUAGAAGCAGCCACUCAUUCAAAGAGUGCGUAAUAGCUCACUGGUCGAGUGAUCCUGCGCCGAAGAUUUCCGGGGCUAAAACUUACUACCGAAGCUACGGCAUCAGUAAUGAUGGGUAGGGGAGCUUCCCAUACGGGUUGAAGCAUGACCGUAAGGACAUGUGGACAGUAUGGGAGUGAGAAUGUUGGCAUGAGUAGCGAGAUGUGGGUGAGAAUCCCACAGGCCGUAAACCCAAGGUUUCCAGGGGAAGGUUCGUCCGCCCUGGGUUAGUCGGGACCUAAGCUGAGGCCGAAAGGCGUAGGUGAUGGACAACAGGUUGAUAUUCCUGUACUACCGAUAACCGUUUGAGAGAAGGGAUGACACAGUAGGAUAAGCUAAGCACACUG
rnacentral:rRNA from 1 species